GUCUAGUACCCCUGGGUGGUCGCGCAAAUCCCGGACGAGCCCCCAAAUGAAAGACCCCCAAAGGGAGACCCUCACUCAAAUCUCGGGAAUAG
rnacentral:pre_miRNA from 11 species